UACGUAGGGGGCAAGCGUUGUCCGGAUUUAUUGGGCGUAAAGAGCGUGUAGGCGGCUUUACAGGUCCGUUGUGAAAACUCGAGGCUCAACCUCGAGACGCCGGUGGAAACCGUAAAGCUAGAGUCCGGGAGAGGAGAGUGGAAUUCCUGGUGUAGCGGUGAAAUGCGCAGAUAUCAGGAAGAACACCCGUGGCGAAAGCGGCUCUCUGGAACGGUACUGACGCUGAGACGCGAAAGCGUGGGGAGCGAACAGG
rnacentral:rRNA from 1 species